rnacentral:rRNA from 1 species
UUGUCUCAAAGAUUAAGCCAUGCAUGUCUCAGUACAAGCCAAAUUAAGGUGAAACCGCAAAAGGCUCAUUAAAUCAGUUAUGGUUCCUUAGAUCGUACCCACAAUUACUUGGAUAACUGUGGUAAUUCUAGAGCUAAUACAUGCAAACAGAGCUCUGACCGGAAACGGAAGGAGCGCUUUUAUUAGAUCAAAACCAAUCGGUGUUGUGCGUAAGCAUUUCAUCGUACAAUUUGGUGACUCUGAAUAACUUUUUGCUGAUCGCACGGUCUUGCACCGGCGACGUAUCUUUCAAAUGUCUGCCUUAUCAACUGUCGAUGGUAGGUUCUGCGCCUACCAUGGUUGUAACGGGUAACGGGGAAUCAGGGUUCGAUUCCGGAGAGGGAGCCUGAGAAACGGCUACCACAUCCAAGGAAGGCAGCAGGCGCGCAAAUUACCCACUCCCGGCACGGGGAGGUAGUGACGAAAAAUAACGAUACGGGACUCAUCCGAGGCCCCGUAAUCGGAAUGAGUACACUCUAAACCCUUUAACGAGGAUCAAUUGGAGGGCAAGUCUGGUGCCAGCAGCCGCGGUAAUUCCAGCUCCAAUAGCGUAUAUUAAAGUUGUUGCGGUUAAAAAGCUCGUAGUCGAAUUUGUGUUCCGCGCCGCCGGUUCAUCGUUCGCGGUGUUAACUGGCGUGUCGCGGAACGUCCUGCCGGUGGGCUUAGCUUGUAUAAAGCGGCCCAACUCAAUCCUGCCGCGGUGCUCUUCAUUGAGUGUCGAGGUGGGCCGGCACGUUUACUUUGAACAAAUUAGAGUGCUUAAAGCAGGCUAAAAUUUUGCCUGAAUACUGUGUGCAUGGAAUAAUGGAAUAGGACCUCGGUUCUAUUUUGUUGGUUUUCGGAACCCCGAGGUAAUGAUUAAUAGGAACGGAUGGGGGCAUUCGUAUUGCGACGUUAGAGGUGAAAUUCUUGGAUCGUCGCAAGACGGACAGAAGCGAAAGCAUUUGCCAAAAA